UCUAGCCGUAGUAAACAAAGAGUGGGGGAAUAUAGUGUUGGAUACGUUGGGCAGGCAGUUAAGAUAGCCGAGAGAAGGGCAUAUACACCGUUCGAAGUUUCGAUCGGUUCGAGAUAUUCAUGGACGACUUUCCGAAACUUGUCAACAACCAGCCUGAAAAUUCGUUACGAGAGAGAGAGAGAGGGGAAAUGGGGAUGCGCGCGAGCCGCGUGUUUCCAACUUUCCGAAUUCCGCCAAGUUUCGUUGGCGCGAAGGGGAGGGGAAGAAGGAUAGGUUGCAUCGAUGCAAAUUAGACGCUCGAUUUUUAUCUACUCGAACGAACGGAAGACGAGCGUCAAAGUCCGCGUUAUUUAUACCUCGGUUAGAAUCGACGACGGUGUCGAGAUUUUCGAGAAGAAAAAUCGUUGAUAUUCGCAGCCGUAACGGGCAAUUUCGCGAAUACCGCGAUUACGCGUUAUCGAGGUGGGUUCGCGCGUGGUUUCGCGUUGGCCGAUCGGGGGGGGGGGGGAGGAAACGCGAGCAAAAACCUUUUUUCCCUGCAAAUGGAAAACUCUCGUUCGCAUGCGUUAUAUCAUAUCGCGAUAAACUGGAAAACGCGAGGCGUGAAAAAAGCGUACGUUGCGUACGUCUCGUGCUUGGCGCAUGCACGCGAAACGCAUCGCGUAUGCGACCGAGUAUUUGCGCGUCCGAUCCACGUUUCCUCGGUGUCUCUUCGCACAUACCUACCUACGUAAGUAGAUAAGUACGCGUCACCGCGUCAACCGACACGAAUCGUUUUUCGCUCUCUCUAAUCGCCGAGAAAGAGAAUACAAGUGGAAUAAUCGUACGUGGGUAUGCCGAGUUUCUUCUUAAAACUCGUCUCCUGGAUCAAGGAAAUUUUUCAAACAAGCGAUCUCUCUCUCUCUCUCUCGUUCACAAUUGUCACGUUUGCAAACGACGCGCACGAAUCGAAGAAGACCGAGAAAGAGAAGCGAACGUUGUACGGUCGGUAACGAUACGACUCCAAGAAUAAUUAAAUACGCGUUAAAUAAUAUCCAGAAAACGAGUAGCGAUAUUGUAUUAAUUUACCAAAUGUGCGCGUAAUUAUUCGAAUUAUUAUAACUAUCGGUCCGGUCCGAGGCGAAUCUGUUCUAAAAAGCUGCGCCGUCCGUUCCGCGAUGCAAUUAAAGUCGAAUGUAAACCGAUAGGGACGCUGUUAUACGAAACUUGGAGGUAAUGAUUACGCGAGCCGUUGUAAUUUAUUACCGCGUGUGUUCGUUAUUCUCAAUUGUAACGUAAUUCGGUAAUAUAGCCUAAUUGCGGUCUUAAUAAGAUCGCGUCCGCGAUUGUCCUCUGCGACUUCGAUCGUUUCUCUUUUCGCCCCUUCGACCGAUGGAUAGGUGAAACGAGAUACGCGUAAAGAUCCGAGUCGAAGCGGCCGAAACGAGCCACGUUUUUCCCUCCCCCCGAUUCUCGCGGAAACCAGUUCGACGAAUAUCAUUUUUUUCUAUAUCGCGAAUGUUUCUUAUUCUUUCGCUGUAUCAUCGCGUUUAUUACAGAUAAGGCGAUCGUCUAAACGAACGAGCGAACGAAGUGUAACGGAAUGUAUGCAACGGUUAAACGUCUUCGUUGUGCACCUUUCUGCAAUUUGUUUCGCGUUCGAUAAGCAAGAUGACUCAUCGAACGCUCACUAUCGCGUUCUUCGUCAAAUGGAACUCGAUACGCGUCUCAUUAACACGGGCGAACGGUGCGCUUUUGCGUUCCUUCUUUUCGUCCAUUUCUCUCUCUCUCUCUCUCACACACGCGCGCGCGCGCGCACUCUGAAAUUACGAGAACGCGCGACAAUCGAAAAGAUCGAGCAGCGAUAAUCGACGAGGCGAAUGGUUAUAUUCCUCGUUGGAAAGUUCGAGACGCGAGACUCGACUGGAGAAAGAUAGAGAAGGAUGAAACGUGGGAUACGUCAGGCAUAGCGAAGUUGCGCGAGCGUUUCUCGGUGUUUAACGAGCGUUUCUCGUUGGCAAACGAUGCGGCCGGCGUUGCUUACAUCGACUCCUCCGUCGUCGGGACGAAAAGGUCGAAAUGAGCGAAAACCGUGGGGAAGCCGGAGAAGGCCGAAACGCAACGGACACGCACGAACGGCGUACACGCGGCCGAGGUGCACACCUACCCACUAUGCGCGCGCGCGCGCGCGUGUAUCAUUAUCGAAAGAAAGACUGGGAGAGAGAAAAAGUAGGUGAAGAGAGAAGGAAAAAGAAAAAAAAGAAGCGGUUCCCGCGGCAGACUUCUCCGGUACGCGAGAAGGAAACCGUAGGUAAUCGAGCGAGCAGAAAUGCUGACGCGGAUAAGGGAAACCCUUACGACCGUUUCUGGUGCGCCGGCUAUUUACGAUCGGUCUCGGUCUAUUCCGAUGGAACAACCGGGGAACGUGUAUUCCACCCCGGUUCGCGAGAUUUCGAAAUUCUUCGACUCUUUCGAUCAUUCUAUCGACAGCAUUAAUGAAAUUACGUAACCAGUAAAAUUUCCAAACUUCCGUUCGGAUGUAUUCUCUCGAUCCUACUUUUUUUUUUUUUUUAACACGUAAAUUCAAACGCAAGUAUAAUCGCUCCUCGAAAACUAUUCCGUUCCUCGUAGUUUAGAGUUCCAUCGAUCUCCAUCGAGGUACUCACGAAAACGUGUAAAUUCGGUUGCCAACGGAAUUUCUUUUUCGCUCGUUAUCUUCCCCGCACGCACGAUACCGAGGAAACAGAGUCGAAACGGGUUUCGUAUUCCGAGCUUUCCCAAUUUCGAUACUCUCACUGUUACCGUUGACCGAAAAUACCACGUAUCGCCUCGAGAAAUACUCUUCUCGAUUCAAGUCUGUAAAUCUUUCUUUCUUUUUUUUUUUAACCGCUUCUCUCUUUUUCCUCUUCCUUCUUUCUUCUUUUUCUUUUUACUUUUCCUUUUAUUUUAUUUUUUUUCUCUCUCCACCGCAUACGGAUCGCAAAAGUUGGUCAAUUUUGUAGAAAUCGAGGGAAAAACUCGUAAUCCGGCAACGUUGCCCUCAAAGCGAGAACAGACCGGUACAGGCUGAUAAAAAUAAAUUUGCGCCCGGAAUAAUCACGGAGCUCCCUAGAGAUCUCCGUAUGGACGGUGUCUUAGGUGCUGUUCGGCGUAGCGAGUCCGUGAGCGCGUUAUCCGUGAGAUGCGUCGUCGCGAUUUUCCUUCCGAGUCGAAAGAAAUCUUCGUCACCUAAAUUUCGCGUCGCGUUUCCCUUCGAUUUUACGGAAAACGAGUCGGUGGAAAAACGGUGGACCCCGACUUUUGAAAAGACGCGUAUCACGAACGUGGUAGAACGCGUUGCACGAACGAACGAACGAACGAACGAACAACCGUGGAAGAGGAGAGCGGCGGAGAGCGGGAAAGACGCGUGUUACGAAACCAUAGCCUGCGAGAACCGAAGGAGGAGAAGAGAGCAGAGCCCGUUCGACGAGCUCUCUUCGUGCGGCCGUUUGUGUUCUAUCCUCCUCCUCCUCCUCCACCACCACCACCACCUCCUCUCCCACCUCCUCCUCCUCCUCCGCUACCUCCUCGUCCACCUCCUCGUCGCCCUCCGCCGCUACCGCCGCCUGCUAUCCCUCCUGCCACCCCCGCCGCCCACCCCCUCUCGCCCCGCGCCCUCCUCGACCGCCACCUCUUCCGCUCCCCCUGCCUCUUCCCCGUCUUUCGCAUCCACCUUCCUACUUUUCCUUCUCUCGCUCGUUUAUUCGCUUCGCCUCCUUCUUCCUCCUUUGCCGUUUACUCUCUUCUCUCUUUCCCUCGUCUCCUUCUCCUUCUCCUACUACCACCACUACCGCACUACUCUGCUACACUACACCACUACACACACGUACACGCGCCACUACUACUACUACCACCACCAUCACCUUUCCUUCCUCCUCGCUCGUCGUUUCCACCUCGACGUUUGCUUCGGGCUAAAAUAAAAACGCGAGGAGAUAACCGUACGAGAGAAAGGAGAGACGUCCGACCCAUCGUACCGAGAAAGAAAAGAAAGAGCAGGGAGUGUAAAAGCGCGAAGGAGCCGCGUAAAAUGAGCCGGGGCGAAGGGAAGGAAGAAGAGAGAAGGAGGAAGAAGACGGAGACGGGGAGGGGGGAAGAUACAUAUUCGCUCACCGACGGAUUUAGAUUGGAGAUUUUAAAGGAUCGGUACGUUACCUUGCGGACGGUUAUCGUCGCGACAUCGAUCACACCCGUCUACGCGGCGGUGGAAACAAAUUGUACGGUUUAAGGAAC
rnacentral:lncRNA from 1 species